UUUUAAGGAAAUUCUUCAAGAUUUUCAUGCAAAGUAUAGGGUGAUCUAUUUUAAGUGAUGUCUUUUGGGUUCACAAAUUCCCGGAAUGCGUUUAUGUACCUAAUGAAUUGAGUUUUCAUAAAUUACUUUGACUCAUUUGUGAUUGUUUUCAUUGAUGAUAUUUUAAUACACUCCAAUAAUUAAAAUGAUCAUGAGAAUCACUUUAGGUAAUUCCUCAAAGAACGCCCACUUUAUAACAAAUUUAGCAACUGUGAAUUUUGGUUAAGGUCGGUUUUUUUAUUGUUCAUAUUAUCUCUGGUGAUGGUAUCAAGGUUGAUCUGAAGAAGACGAAUGCGGUCAAAAAUUGUCCUAGACCUUUGAUUACCACUAACAUGAGGAGUUUCUUGAAUCUAACCGGGUAUUAUAGAAGGUUUGUUGAUGGAUUUUUGUCCAUUGCUUCUCUUUUGACAACUUUGACCCAAAAGAAGGCGAAGUUUGAGUGGUUGAAAGCUUGUGAAAAAGUAUUUCAAGAGUUUAAAGAUAAGCUUACCUCCGCUCCGGUGUUGACCUUACAAGAGGGUAAUGAAGGCUUUGUAGUGUAUUGUGAUGCUUCUUGAGUAGGCUUGGACUGUGUCCUCAUGCAGCAUGGAAAGGAAUCUGCAAUUUUUGGGUCUUCUUGUUCUUGAGUUCUACGUUUAUGCAGAUACAGUGCAGAAACUACAAAUUGGUCAUCAAGCUCAUCUCACUGCUCAAAAAAAUGGAACAUAUGAUCGUAAUUGAAAAUCAUAGUAGUGCAAAUGCAUGGAUUAGAGCACAGAAUCAUAGUAAGGAGUUUGUCAACUAGUUUAUGAAGAAAGUUAAAUUUGUUGAAGUGCCUGAACAUUUACAGAAACUUUAUAAAGGGCCUAUUCUGCGGCAAAAAGGAAUACAACAUAUGUCAUCAAUGGAUAUCGAUUUCAUAAAAUGAAACGAGAUAGUCAAGGUAAUAUUCAACACUAUGGAGUGCCUUUAUCAACAACUACUGAUAGUUUUGCUACUGCUAGAGACCAAAACUCCACUGAUGGAGAGGUUUUAUAUUAUGGAGUUAUUCAAUAAGUUAUGCAGUACUGAAGAUCCAUUUGUACUAGCAUCUCAAAUGCAUCAAGUUUUCUAUGUGGAGGAUAUAAUUAAGAAAGGUGUUUAUUAUGCAAGGACUAAAGUCAAUGUUGAUUUAUUUGCUUUAGACGAAGAUCAGAAUCGCCCGUUAUAUUGGAGACACAUUUUUUGGGGAGCAUGAAAAUUACAUUGGAACAUCAAAUGGAAUAUCUUGUGUUGAUGUUGAUCUUAGAUGCUCGAGAGAAUAUGUAACUGGUGAUGUCACGGAUAUGCCAACUCAUGAUCAACAUUCAGAAUACAUGGAAGAAGAUCAUAUGGAAACAUCAAAAUAAGAUGAGGACUUUGAUGAUGUCGAUUGGGAUUGGAUGGUGGCUGAUGAUUGACGAAGGAAUUUUUGAAAUUCUUUUAAUAUAUUUCUAUUGCAUUUUCUUAUAUGUACUAUUGGUUUGAAAGUCUAUUGAAUGAAUGUCGAUUUGCCAGUUUUA